ACGAAAACAACUUUCCAUUAUUUUUCUGUCUUCCUGUCUCUACCAAAACGAAGUCUCUCUUCUUUGAGCGAGAAAAAAUUCGCUCUAGGAAGAGUGUCUCAUCAGAACCCUAACUUUCUCGGGAAAAAGGGAUUCCUCAUAGAUUUUUCUGUAAUGCCCUGCUGCUUUUAUGAAUAUUGUUCAAUGAAUUAAUCGAUUUCUUCAUUCAGCAGGAUUGCUGUCCUUGCAAAGGUCAUAAUUGAACUUCUCUAAGUUCAUGUCCAUAGCUUGUUUUCUCCCUAAAUAAGAUGGAGAAGGAUGCAAAUGUUACUGUCUCACUUGUUCCAGCCUCAGAGUUACUCUCUCAGACUAUCCUGACUGUCUUUGACACUGUACAUGCUGCCAAAGCAGUCAUCAUUCAAGAUGCGAAUUUCCAGCAAUUCGCAAUUUACUUGGAGAUGGUCACAGUGGUCCUGAAAGAGUUGGCCAAUCUAAAGAUAGAGGAUUCUGAGAGGUUAAAAAUUGCUGUUGCAAAUCUUAAUCGAGAGAUUAAGGUUGCAAAGCAGCUAACUGUGGAGUGUGGGAAGAGAAACAAGAUCUAUCUCUUAGUCAAUUGCCAGAGAAUUUCCAAGGACUUAGAGUGUAUCACAAAAGAGAUUAGUCGGGUUCUAGGCCUUAUUCCUGAUAUUUCAUUCAAUAUUAAUGAUAAGAUUAGUAAACUACGCAAGGAUAUGUUAGAUUCCAAGUAUCAAGCAACUGCAGUGGAGGAAGAAAUUCUGGAAAAAAUUGAAACUGGUAUACGGGAGAGGAAUGUCGACAAAUCCUAUGCAAAUAAUUUGCUCCUCUGUAUUGCUGAGGCUGCUGGGAUUUCAACUGAGCAGUCAGUAUUGAAGAGAGAGUUAGAAGAAUUCAAGAGUGAAAUAGAGGAUGUGAACCUCAGAGAAGACAGUGCAGAAGCUUUAAAAAUGGGAAAGAUUGUUGCAUUGCUUGCAAAAGCAGAUGCUGCCACAUCUCCUGAGGAGAAAGAAAUCAAAUAUUUUAAUCAGCGAAAUUCUUUGGGUACGCAACGACUGGAACCUCUACAUGCAUUCUACUGUUCAAUCACUCAUGAUGUCAUGGUGGAUCCUGUGGAAACUUCCUCAGGGCAGACAUUUGAGAGAAGUGCAAUAGAGAAGUGGAUUGCAGAAGGGAAUAAGCUCUGUCCAUUGACAGCGACUCCCUUGGACAUGUCAGCUUUACGACCUAACAAAAUUCUUCGACAAUCAAUUGAAGAAUGGAAGGAUAGGAACACCAUGAUUAUGCUUGCUUCUCUCAAACCUGCACUCCAUUCAAAUGAUGAGCAAGAAGUUCUUCAAUCUCUGGGCAAGCUGCAUGAUCUAUGUAUUGAACGAGAGUUGCACCGUGAAUGGGUAAUGAUGGAGGAGUACUGUCCAAUUCUUAUUGGACUUCUUGGUGCAAAAAACCGUGAAAUAAGAAAACUUUCUCUAGUCAUCCUUUGCAUUCUUGCAAAGGAUAGCAAUGAGAAUAAGGAAAGAAUUGCUAGAGUGAAUAAUGCAAUUGAAUCAAUUGUUCGUUCCCUUGCCCGCCAGAUUGGGGAAAGCAAGUUAGCGUUGCAAUUACUAUUGGAGCUAUCAAGAAGUAAUCUAGUGCGUGACUUCAUCGGCAAUGUUCAGGGUUGCAUAUUUCUCUUAGUGACUAUCUCCAGUGGUGAUGAUACUCAAGCUGCCAUAGAUGCAAAGGAGCUUUUGGAAAAUCUCUCUUUUCUUGAUCAGAAUGUUAUUCAGAUGGCAAGGGCAAAUUAUUUUAAACCUUUGUUGCGCCUUCUUUCUUCAGGGCCAGUGAAUGCUAAAAUGACUGUGGCUGCUACUUUGUCAGAGAUUGAGUUAACUGACAAUAAUAAAUUGAGUCUAUUUGAAGAUGGAGCACUUCAGCCACUUCUAGUAUUGCUCUCACAUAGCGAUAUGGAGAUGAAGAAAGUGGCUGUUAAAGCUCUUUAUAACCUCUCCAGUGUGCCACAAAAUGGAUUGCGGAUGAUUAGAGAAGGUGCUGCAGGCCCAUUGUUUGAACUUCUCUACCGUCACAGCUUGUCUUCCCCAAGUUUGCGUGGAGAGGUGGCAGUUAUCAUUAUGCACCUUGCAAUAUCAACCACAACCCUGGAAGCUGAUCAAAUGCAUGUUUCAUUGUUGGAAUCUGAGGAAGAUAUAUUCAAGCUUUUCUCUCUCAUAUCCUUGACAGGACCUGACAUACAACAAAUUAUUCUCCGAACUUUUCAUGCUAUGUGUCAAUCUCAUUCUGGUUUAGACAUCAGAACUAAGUUAAGGCAGCUCUCUUCUGUUCGAGUACUAGUUCAAUUAUGCGAGUUUGACAACCAUACAGUACGUGCAAAUGCUGUGAAGCUCUUUUGUUGCUUGACAGAAGAUGGUGAAGACAGUACCUUUGUAGAGCAUGUGAGCCAGAGAUACAUAGAGACAUUAAUCAGAAUAAUCAAAACUUCUGAUAAUGUGGAAGAGAUUGCUGGUGCAAUGAGUAUCAUCUCUAACCUUCCUAAGGAGGCCCAUAUAACCCAGUGGCUUCUUGAUGCCGGAGCUCUUCAAAUCAUUUUUACUUGUCUUACUGAUGGAAAUAGUAGUGCUUCAUACAAAAGGCAAUUAAUUGAGAAUGCUGUUGGCGCUCUUUGUCGUUUCACUGUUUCAACAAAUCAGAAUUGGCAAAAGGAGGUAGCCAAAUGUGGUUUUUUCCCAAUCCUGCUACAGUUUCUAGAUUCUGGAACAGCUUUGACAAAGAGAAAUGCAGCAGUUUCACUUAAGCAAUUUUCAGAAAGUUCCAAUGGCUUAAGCCAACCAGUGAAGAAGCAUGGAGCUUUUUGGUGCUGUUUGGCCUCUCGUGAAACUGGUUGCCGAGUGCACUUAGGCAUCUGUACAGUUGAGUCCUCAUUUUGUCUUUUGGAGGCUAAUGCUGUAGAACCCCUAGUGAGGGUGCUUGUGGAACCAGAUGUUGGAGCUUGUGAAGCUUCUUUAGAUGCACUUUUGACAUUGAUUGACGGUGAAAGAUUGCAAAAUGGGAGUAAGGUGCUUUCUGAAGUUAAUGCUAUUGUUCCAAUUAUAAGGUUAUUGAGUUCAUCGUGUACCAAGUUGCAGGAGAAAGCUCUGAAGGCUUUAGAAAGGAUCUUUCGACUAAUUGAUUUCAAACAGAAGUAUGGGAAUUUAGCCCAAAUGCCAUUAGUUGACAUUACUCAGAGGGGACAUGGUGGUAUGAAAUCCUUAGCUGCCAAAGUACUUGCUCACUUGGAUGUGCUCCAUGAACAAUCUUCUUACUUCUAAUGGAUGGUGGGUGAUGGAGUUUGUUAUAGUUUAGCAUAAUGCCAUUUCUGUGAGUACCAUGUGAAGAAAGCCUUUCUGGAUAUGCAAAUUAGAUUCCAUCCUUAACCACAAUGGGAGGCUACAUUGAACAUCCCUGAUAAGGAAUAUAGAGGUUUGUACUUGCCACAUCCAAUGGAGAUUCUGCUAGUGCACUCAAAUUGUUUUUUCAGUAGCACAUAACAAGUUCCAGCAUCAAGACUGAGAUUUGCAAAGACAAAGAAGAAGAAGAAGAAGAAGAGAAAAAAGAAAACUAGGGUUUCAUUGAUGAAAGGCUUACAAAAGAGAUUACGUAAAAAACUUUAUAUAGGCUAACAAGAAAAGUUAAAAGACUAUUCUACCCUUAUUGAUGAUAAGAAAUAACUAAGCUAAAAUACUAUCUAACAUUCUCCCUCAAACUCACGAUGCAGUAGCAAGAAGUAUCGAGAGUUUGCCAACAAAAAAAUAAAAUCACUGAACAGUCUAAGACUUGGUGAAGGAGUCAACAAUCUGCAUGGAAGAAGAGACAAAGGACAAAGCAAUCGUCCCAUGCUGGAGUUCUUGCCGAGUAGUAUGACAAUCGAUAUCAAUGUCUUUGGUUCGCUCAUGAAAAACUGAAUUGCGGGUAAUUUGAAUGGCGCUCUUAUUGUUGCAGUAAAGAGAAGUGAGAGUAGUAAUAGGUACACCCAUAUCUACUAAUAACCAACACAACCAAACAAUCUCAUUUGUGGUAGUUGCCAUAGCACGGUACUCAACCUCAAUGGAAAAUUGAGAGACAACGUUCUAUUUUUUACUCUUCCAUGAAAUAAGAGAUCCACCUAAGAAGAUGCAAAAACCAAUUGUAGACUUACGAUCAUUUGGGUUACUAGCCUAAUCAGCAUCACAGUAUGCACAAAGCUCCAAAAAGGAAGUCGAAGGAAAGACAAGACUCUGACAAAGAGUGCCCCAAAGAUAGCAUAAAAUGCGAAGAACAACAACCCAAUGAAUUGUAGUGGGAAAUGCAAUGAACUGAUUGACAAUGUGCACAACAUAAGAAAUAUCUGGACGAGUAAUAGUGAGAUAAAUUAAGCUACCAACUAGGGUUUGAUACAAAGUGGGAUCAGGCAAACGAGUACCAUUUGUAGAGGCAUAUCGAACAUUAAGCUCUAGAGGAGUAUCAACAGUCCAAGUAUCUGUAAGUUGAGCUCAUUGAAGGAUAUCUGCUAUGUAUUUAGACUGAUAAAGAAGGUAACCCUUAGGAGAACGGGCAACCUCAAUACCCAAGAAGUAACGUAAAGGACCUAAGUCUUUCAUGUCAAACUAUUGAGUCAAUUCAGUCUUUAGCCGUGCAAUACCAUCAACAUCAUCACUAGUAAUAAUCAUGUCAUCAACAUAAAGUGAAAGAAGAAUAUGACCCACAGAGAUAGACUUAACAAAAAGAGCUGAAUCAUGAGCACUAGAAUAAAAACCAAGGGAAGUAACCACUGCAGAAAACCUCUCAAACCAAGCUCGAGGGGCUUGUUUGAGACCAUACAAAGCCUUUUUGAGUCUGCAAACUUCUCUAGGGUUGUGAGAAAUACUAGGAGAAGGUACCAUAUAAACUUCCUUUUUAAGAUCUCCAUUUAAGAAAAUGUUUUUAACUUCCAUCUGUGAGAUGUGCCACUGGCGGGCAGAGGCAACUACAAUGAGAGCACAAAUAGUGAUUAUCUUGGCAACUAGUGCAAAAGUCUUCUCAUAGUUCAUACCAUAUUUCUAAGCGAAACCCUUCGCAACCAACCUAGCUUUGUAGUGCUCAACUGAACCAUAUGACCUUGUUUUGAUUUUAUAAAUCCAACAAGAACCAAUAGAGCUCUUACACUAGCGGAAGUGGCACAAAUCCCAAGUAUCUGUUCGAUGUAAAUCAAAAAGUUCCUCAGCCAUAGCCUGCUCCCAAUUGGGAUCAAGAACAACCUCUGUAUAGGAGGUAGGCUCACAAAGAUUGUGAAGAGAUGCUAAAAAUGAAGUAAAUGAAAGAGAAUAACAAGAAUAAGCAAAAUUUUGUAACUUAGUGGACUUACAAAUACGCUUUGGAUAGCAAGAUGGAAGAGGAUCUGCAAUCACAAGAGGUGCUAAGAUGACAGAAGAAGGAGGCAUGGAGGCAUCAUCUGUGGAUGGUGGAGCAUCAGAAAUACCAUGAGUUGUAUCAUUCGUAGUUGCCUGAGUCCCAUGUGAAUAAUGAUAAGGGAAAGGUUGGAUGGGAGAAGGUAAGGGAGUGACAAGAUAAGGAACAUCAUGUGAUAUGGGUCAGCUAGUAGGAGACAUAGGGUUAGGAGGAUCAUCAAGAAAAUGGUCAAUGCAAAUAAUAUUGGACUUUGACAAGGUAUGACACUUGGUAGGAAUAGAGAAAAAAGGAAUAUGGUCAAGGAAGAAGACAUGACAAGAAAUAUAUAACUGUUGAGCUACAGGAUCAUAACAAUGAUAACCCUUUUGACCCUCACCAUAGCUAAGAAAGACACAAAUGAUGGAGUGUGAAGAUAGCUUGUUACAUUCUACACUAGGACGAAGAAUGAAACAAGUGCAACCAAAAACCCGUAAAGAAGAGUAGUCAAGAGGGUGACCAUACAAAUUUUCAUAGGAAGAUAGACAUGAUGUAUGAGAAGAAGGUGUUUAAUUGAUCAAAUUCACAACAGUGAGAACAACUUUGCCCCAGAAUGCACUUGGGACACCAGCAGACAAGAGAAGGGAGCGAGCAGUCCCAACAAUAUGCCUAUGUUUUCUUUUAGCGACCUCAUUCUGUUGAGGAGUGUCAGUACAAGAGGAUUGAUGCACAGUACCAUCAAAGAUAAGUAAUUCAGAAAAGGUUAUAAAUGUAUAUUCCCCACCUAAAUCACAACGAAAGCACUUGAUAAUAGCAGAGUGUUGAGUUUUAACAAAUGAGCGAAAAGUAGUAUAAACAUGUAUGAAAUCAAAUCGAUGCUUCAUUAGAUAAACCCAACAAUAUCGAGUGUGAUCAUCAAUAAAUGAGACAUAAUAUUUGGACCACCCUUUUGUGGCAACAAUGGAAGGUCCCCACACAUUAGAAUGAAUCAAGUCAAAUGGUGCAACAAAGGGGGAAACACUUUGAUUAAAGAGUAAAGCAGAAAACUUUGCCAAUUUACAACCACUACAAUAAGAAAUAUCAUGAGUUUGAAAAUUGCCCAAAAAUCCUUUAGAAAUUAAAUAUUUUAAAUGAGGGGCCGAAAUAUGGCCAAGUCUAGAGUGCCACGAAUAAAAACUAGAGGAAGAUGAAGUUAAAUGGAAAGAUGACAAAUCAACACUCAAAGCAGCUAAAUUUGAAACUCGUGGAAGUCGCAACUCGUCCAUGACAUAUAAGCCCUCCUGCCUACGACCUGUCCCAAUCAAUAUCUGGGAUUAAGGAUCUUAUACAUGACAAGAAGUAGAAGAAAGCAAACAAAAUAACAAGAAUCAUAGAGUUGACUCACAAAUAUGAGAUUCAUAGUAAGUUUAGGAAUGCAAUAAACAUUAAAGAGAGACAAAUAAGAUGUGCAUAUGGAACCAACACCUGCUAAAGGCAUCGGAGUGCUAUCAGUAGUGAUGACUGACAUAGAGGAAGGAGAAUGGCACAUAGAUACAAAAGAAGAUGAAGAAAGUGACAUAUGAUGUGAGGUACCAGAGUCUAAGACCCACAAAGAAGAGGAUUUACUUGAAAUGUUAGGGAAUGGUAGACCUGACGAAGAUGGAGUAGACAUGGCAUACGACUGUAGCGAUAGUUGUGUAGUAAGGAACUUCUAAAACUACUCUAGAAUGGCCACCAUGUUGGGAUCUGAGGAUGAUGCAACUUUAGGUAUAAGUGUUGUAGUAUUAGACUAUGAUGACCUAUAAGCUUGUUUUUUAGGUUGUCCUUGAGGACGCCAUUGUUGUGAAGGUGGGGUGGUUGCCCAUUGCUGUUACGUAGGAGUAAGGAUGAAAAUAUCGGUAAUUACGGAUAUAUCGAUACUUCAAUUUUACGGAUAUAUUGGAUAUAUCGGAGAUAUAUCGGCGGAUAUUUUGGAAAAAAAUAUCGGUAAACUUAAAAUUGUUAAAAACUCAUGAAAAUGUAAGGAAAACCUCAUAAUAAUAUAAUUAGAAGUAUAAUAGACAUUUUAAAGUUAUUUUAUUGAAAAUUUUGAUAUAUGUAUAACAUGAUUUAUCAUAUUUGAUAAUAAUAUCGUAUGCAUCGAUAAAAAUAUGAAUUUUAUAAGUGUACAUUUAUUAUUAAAUUACACCUCAUAUUAUGAUAUUUAAUUAUAAUAUGUCUAAUUUUAAAAUAUAUAUUAGUAUUAAAAUAUGAUCCAUUUAAUUCAAUUGUAUUAAACAAUAUAAAAUAAAUUAUGAUAUAUAUAUAAUUUUUUAAUAUUUAAUUAAUUAUUAAUGAUAUUAAAAACAUUAUGAAGAAAAUUAUAUAAUUUUUAUAUUUUUGGCAAUUAAUUAAAAGAUUUUGUAUUUAAUUAUAAAAUAAUUAUAAUUAAUUUGCUCUUUAAAAUAUUUUUUUAAUAUUUUCUUUAUAUAAUGAGUUUAAGUAUAUAUAAAUUUAUUGCAUAUUAUAUAUCAAAGGGCAAGUUAGCCCAGGUGGUAAGCGGGUGAACCCCAAACCUUUUGGUUUAGGGUUCAAAUCCCCUCGGUAGCAAGCAAAUGGGAGGGCACUGUAGUGGCAUUGUAGCACAUUGACUGUACUGUAGCACGUUUGACUUUCGUUGACCCGCGUUGACCAUGCAAUAUAUCGGAAAAAAUCGUCGAUUUAUUGCCAAAAUCGCCGAUAUAUCGCGAGAAUCGCUGAUUUUUCGAGAUUUAUCCUGAAAUAUCGCCGGACCGAUAUUUCUACAUGAAAUAUCGUGUCGAUACUCUUCGAUACGUAGGAGGAGGUGGUCGCCACUAUAGCUACGUAGGAAGAGGUUGUUGAGAUGUUUGUGCUUUAUGCAAUAGUUUAGGACACUGAGCCUUUCAAUGUCCUUUUUGCUUACAAAAGCUGCACUCAUCAAAACUAACAUGUGUAGGUGAUUUAGUUUGGUUGCUUGAGAAAGGUUUGCUAGGAAUGGCUAGAACUGAUGGGCUAGACGCUGGGGAAGGCCCUUUCCUACCUGAGUCUUAAGACGUGGUUGUUCAACUAGAAGCUCACUUACCAUUGUAUCAAUAGAGGGGAUGACGAUAAUGAUGUAGAAUAUUUCCCCGAAGCCCCUCAAAGUCAUUACGAAGAGCCAUCAAGAACUCAACAAGACGUUACCGUUCUCGACGAGUUAGAUACUCAACAUUGCUUUGAAGAGAUGCGAGCUCCGUGAGCUCCAACUGAUCCCAAAGAUCAGACAUCGUAGAAUAAAACUCUUGGGUACUCAUCCUUUUGUUGCACUGCUCAAAUAUCAGACUCCAAUUGAUAUUGUUUUGCAAAGUUGGAUUGUGUGUACAAUAGUGCCAAAUGAUCCCAAACUUGUUUUGCAAUCUCAUAUUUUGCCAAUUGUAUGCCAAUAGAAUGCUCAUCAAAAUUAUUAAUCUAAAUUAUAAUCUUUGAGUUGUUUGCUUCCUGACUCUCUAACAUAUCAAUAUAUUUUUCAUCCCUAUCAUUUAUAGGUUUGCUCAAGACACCACUGACAUAACCCCACAUUCGUUUCCCUUUCAAAAAAUUUCUCAUCACAUAACUCCAAUACGAGUAAUUAUUUCCAUCUAAUCUGACACUAAUGGAUUGAAGAGAGUCAUCUCUUUCACCAACCAUGAUCAACUAAUAAUCUUACCACAAUAUAAUCCAAACAAAACAAAGCAAGCAAGAAUAUCAAAUAAUCGAACCUCCAAAAUAGCUGCAAAAAAAACGUCUUCAAAUUUGCUUGCGAAACCACAAAAAAAUAAUAAAUAAAUAAAUAAAACAAACAAACAAACAAUACUUCAAAGUUGCCGAAAAUCCUUUUUAAAACAAAUUAAGAUUGAUAGAAGAUCUUCGCGAAAAACCCCCCAAAAUUUUUUUUGCCAUGAAAUCUUCUAUCAAAGGCCCUAUGUUGAUCAUUGCUCUAAUACCAUGUGAGAUUUGCAAAGACAAAGAAGAAGAAGAAGAAAAGAAAAAAGAAAACUAGGGUUUCAUUGACAAAACGCUUAAGAAAGAGAUUACAUAAAAAGUUUUGUAUAGGCUAACAAGAAAGCUAAAAGACUAUUCUAUCCUUAUUGAUGAUAAGAAAUAAUUAAGCUAAAAUACUAUCUAACAAAGACCACCAUAAACAAUGUGGGUGUAGUGUUCUUGCCACUUCUAUUGAUACUUUAAGAUAACAAAUUCAGAGGGGAAACCGACAAUGAUCAAACUAGUAAAGUUAACAGCAGAAGCUGAAAACAUUACUGUUGUGGCACCAAUAUGAAAUGCUUGUAGAUAUGGUAAAUCAUUCCCUCUUUGGAAAGACCUUAUAUGCAAACCAGAAAAGGAGAAAAGCAAGGGCUCCACUAAGAAGAACCAAUUGACAUAUCGAGAUUUCCAAAGGUUCCGCAUCAAGUCCAGAGGUUGUCAUUGGGCAACUUGGAGGUAUCACAGAGGUUGGGCAUGGCUCCCAUCAACCACCAUGCAAUUAUCAGGUGGAAUCUUUGUGUAGCGGCCAGGCUUGAAAUUUGCUAGAAAGGUUAAAGCUUGAGUCAUGCUGAUGUACCCAUAUAACUCGAAGCACAUGUCAGAGACCGGGUGCCCCAGCAGUUGUGAUAACAAUUGGGAGGAUGAAGAAGACAAUAGAGCAAGCAAGCAAGAAAGAAAACCAAGGCAACUGAAGUUCCUUUUUGUAAUACUCGCAUGCAAACAUAAAAGCAGCAAUAGCCAACACAAGGGUGAUGAGGAACGAUCACAUGAUUACUGAAUUGUACUUCUCAAUAAGCAAUGUGCCUCAUUCAAAAUGAGAAGUAGAAGAAACUCCCAACUUGGAGAAGAUCACACUUUAAUGGAGUAACUAUUUUUUCAUUGAUAGCAUAACAUGAAUAAAUGAUAAUGCCAUACUAGACCAGAUGCCUUCUCAUUAAAGAGAGAGUUUGAAGAAUUUAAGAGUGGAUUGGGUAUAGGUAAGGAAAUAGAACAGAUUGUUUCCAGCUACAUCUCUUGAGAGGAAAGGAACGACAAAUGUUUUUCUUCUACACGUUAACAAAACUCUUCAGGUUGCUAUCACUGCUCAAACAUGACAUUGGAGGGCAAUCACCAUUCCCAAGCUUGCAAAGAAUGGAAUGGAGAAUAAGGAUAUGAUUGCCAAAGCAAAUGAAACCAUUGUUCAAUUUGCACCAGUGAAGAGCAAUUAAGUUUGGUACUUGCUAUUUUGAUUUGGCAUUCAUCUAAAAGGCUAACAAACCCAGUUAUGUGCCUUCAGCAUAUCAGGAGUCACACAUAUAACAAAAGGCUAAACUAUGUACAUCUACAGAAGAAGAGAAUAAAAGGUAUUGUUUCAAAUUAUAGGGGUCAAUCAAAAGGCUGUAUCAGAAAACAGGGCAGCCAUCAACUACAAUUCCUUUGGCAGUUGGGCAUGAAGCCAAGGGGCAUCCUUCUGGAUUGUUUCCCCACCAGUCGAUGCUAACAUUCCUGGACCCGAGGGUAAGGAAUAUUAAUAUGGUCAUGAAGGCAGUUCCAGCAUCAAGACCACCAGAAACAACAUAGUUAUAGCGCUCCCACAACUUUGGUUUGUGCCUGAAGAUUACAAAUCCAGAGAGGAACCCAACAAUGAUCCAACUCGUGAAGUUAACAGCAGAGGCUGGGGGCAUCAUUGCUGUGGAACCUAACAAGACUGGCAUGUGGAUAAGGGGAAUCCAUUUCUUUUUUGGGAAUGCCUUGUGCAUGAGCCAGACUAGGAGAGGGGCAAUGGCUCCAAGCAGAAAGAACCAGUUGACAUUCGAGUAGGCACCCAGGUUUCCAAAGAUUCGGCGAGUGCCAAUAAGCCCCCAAAUAACAGAGGCAUCGAAGAAGACAUUGUCCAUUGGGCAUCUCCAUGGACUGUCUGCAGGCAACAUAGUGGUAUCACAGAGGUUGGGAAUGGUUGCCAUCAGCCACCAGGCAGUUAUCACGUAUACAAUUACAGCCACAACUGUUCCUACCACCUGCAAUACCAAGGUGGAAUCUUCAUGUAGUGGCCCAGCUUGAAGUCGGCCAGAAAGGUUAGAGCUUGAGUCAUGCUGAUGUACCCAUAAACCUUGAAGCACAUGUUGGCAACAGGACGGCCUGGGUACAUAUAUCCCAUAACAUAUUCUGUUACAAUGUUCAAACCUGGUGUCUGUUCACCGGCAACAAAAGAUUGUUCAUUUAAAUUCCAAAUAGCUACAUUAUUAGAUUUUAUUCCAUUUAACUCAACUUCAGCUUAUAAAUUAAAGUUCAAUUUCCUACCUGGUUUGUUGUAGCAGUGAUGAUGCCGAUUGGAAGGGUGAAGAAAAAGGCAAUGGCACAAGCAAGCAAGACACCCCACCAUGGCAACUGAAGUACGUCAUUGUAAUACUCACAUGCAAAUAUGAUAGUGGCAAUGUUCACAACGUGGAUCACAAAAAACCACCAAUUGGGCACUGACUUGUACUUCUUCAUAAGCCAUGUAUGUAUAUCCAUCUUUUUCUCUCCAAAGGCACCUUUUGUUUGUUUCCAUAGCUCACUGCAUUUACCAGCUUAAAAGAGCUUUAGUUCAUGUUAUUGAUGUUGAUUUAUUGCAUAAAACAAAUGAAAAUUGUGCUCAUAAGACAUCAUUUACAUGAAUCAUGAGUUUUAGAA